rnacentral:rRNA from 1 species
AGUGAACGCUGGCGGUAGGCCUAACACAUGCAAGUCGAACGGCAGCACAGUAAGAGCUUGCUCUUACGGGUGGCGAGUGGCGGACGGGUGAGGAAUACAUCGGAAUCUACUUUUUCGUGGGGGAUAACGUCGGGAAACUUACGCUAAUACCGCAUACGACCUACGGGUGGAAGCAGGGGAUCUUCGGACCUUGCGCGAUUGAAUGAGCCGAUGUCGGAUUAGCUAGUUGGCGGGGUAAAGGCCCACCAAGGCGACGAUCCGUAGCUGGUCUGAGAGGAUGAUCAGCCACACUGGAACUGCGGCACGGUCCAGACUCCUACGGGAGGCAGCAGUGGGGAAUAUUGGACAAUGGGCGCAAGCCUGAUCCAGCCAUACCGCGUGGGUGAAGAAGGCCUUCGGGUUGUAAAGCCCUUUUGUUGGGAAAGAAAAGCAGCAGGUUAAUACCCCGCUGUUCUGACGGUACCCAAAGAAUAAGCACCGGCUAACUUCGUG